AAAAUAACUAGACAACCUAGAUUAUCCCCAUUUAAAAUGUAUAUAUGGUCACAUAUCUAUCUCAUCGUAACAGAUUCUAUCUUAUCUUUGGAGAUUCAUCUUAUAAGCAUAGUUAUCCCAAUAUAGACACAAAACAACAGAUCAAGCUCUGCCCAUGAUCCUUCAAUUGUGACCAGCUACUAACCUAUCCGUUUGCCCACUAAAUACUUUCCCUUGCAGAACUAUCUUACCAUAUAUUUCUAACCCAGAUGGUCAAUACCAGGAAGGGAGGCGGUAUCGAUCUACCUGCUAACAACCGAAGCAGGAGGACUGUUAACCAACCACAACCAGAGAUGAACCCUCCACCGCUGGAACAGAUCCAGUUGCCGCCUCUCAGAUGCAGCUGUUGUGGGUUGAUUCUGCCCAGCCGGCCCACCUCACCGUGCCAGCCCAGUAUUCGCGCCCACGCACAUUAGCGCCACUGCCCGACCGGGGCCCGCUCGCCAGCGUCCUCCCCUUUUGCGGCGCUCCCGUGGCUACGGUGCCUCCCUCUGUGACAGGUGGGGCCCACAUUGUCAUCCCGCAGCUCGCUCAACAAACAGCCGAAGUCCGUUCGUGGAUCUCCAUGGAUCUCGGGCGAAUGGUUGGCUUUGGUCCUGGGUAUAAGACUGUGCCUGGGCGCGCAUCUAAAUCCAGCUAAACUCCAUGCCUGGUGUUGAGCCGUCUAAUCCUUUGAACCUCACCGUCGCCUGCUUGGGAAAGGACCCACCGUUGGCUCUGCUUUCGCCACGACGAUUGUGGAGCCGAAUUGAAGCUCUGGGGCAAUCGGUGGCGAUUACCAAAACUUGCCACAGCUUUCCGCUGCAAAGAAAUCCACCAUGAAGCUACCAAUUUCUCGCCGUCACUUCUCCUCCGCUGCGAUUUUUCCUUGUACGUGGUCGGCCGCAACCAAGCGUUGAUUCACGGUAAGAAGUCUUCGUCUCGAAUCGUCUCGUCUUCCUGCUUGAGUUGUUCUAGAUGGAAUCUAUGGUUGGGGCUCGGUCGACGUGUGAUUGCCUCCGACGAGGAGCUUAGUCGCGGUGCGGCGGCGCCGCCGAGCUGGGUUCAGUUGGGGGGGGGGGGGGGGGGGGGGAGACGAGUCUAGGACCAUUGAUGGAUCGGCGGGCGGUCCUGAUUUAAUG